UCGUAAACGCUGCAGACACUAAAUGUAACAGCAGCGUUAAAAAAUGACGACAUGGUUUUUAGUGGUUGUGAGCCAGAAGGAGCCCAGUGUGGAGUUUACAUGUUCUCCUGUGUCUUCGUGGGUUUUUUAUUAUUUUAGUUUUAUUUCGUAUUCAGUUUUAUUAUUCAAAGACUGUAUUUUGUUUUUUGUUUGAGAUUUAAAGAGUCAAAAUCAAAAUUUAGUUUAAAAGAACAUUGUCAUGACCUGGCUGUUUCGGUGGAGUUCUGUGUUGCCGGGUUCAUUUCCUGUUUUAUUUUCUUGCACUUCCGGUUCUGUCUUGUCGUGCUUAGUUCACCUUUGCUUUUCAGUCAUGAGAUCACCAGCUGUUUCCUAUCAGUAAUUACCGGCAUUUAAGCUUCAGCACUCACCUCUUCCGUUUGCCAGAUUGUUUAUUCAAGCACCCUGUUUGUCACCUUCCAGCAACUUCACACAGACGCCAUAUGGAGGAGGACGAGGCUGCCACAACAAGUUCUAUAAGAAGCUUUUCAAGGUCCUGGAGUGGACUCAUCAAUCUCCACACCUCAACCUUGUAGAAAAUCUAUGGAGGAAGGUCUGUGUUGCCCAGUGACAAUCCUAAAACAUUACUGCUCUGGAGGUGAUCUGCAUGGAAGAAAAAGGCCAAAAAAGAACAGCUACAGUGUGUGUGAAAAACUGGUGAACAGGUACAGGAAACGUCUGACUCCUGUCAUUGUCAACAAAGGUUUUAUUACAAAAGUAGUGCGUUGAACUUUUGUUAUUGACCAAAUACUUAUCUUUAGGAAUUUAUAAAUAAAUUCAAAUAAAAAAAACAAAACAA